AUGCUUUGAUGAAAAUAUUUAUUUAGGAAUUCCGGUGAGGAUUGAAAAUUAUUGAACAUUUUAAAACUGAAAGCGUU